rnacentral:rRNA from 1 species
GACGAACGCUGGCGGCGUGCUUAACACAUGCAAGUCGAACGAAGUGGCGAACGGGUGAGUAAUACGUGGGUAACCUGCCCUCCUUUUUGGGAUAAGCCUUGGAAACGGGGUCUAAUACCACAUCAAGGGGGAUGGGCUCGGGGCCUAUCGGCUGGUUGGUGGGUGGAUGGCCUACCAAGGCGGUGACGGGUAGCCGGCCUGCGGGGGUGACCGGCCACAUUGGGACGGCUAGACGGCUCAGACUAGUACGGGAUGGAGCAGUGGGGGAUAGUGGUCAAUGGGCGAAAGCCUGAUGCAGCGACGCGGCGUGGGGGAUGAAGGCUUUAGGGUGGUAAACCUCGGUCGCUAGCGAACGGGUAGGUGGAGAAGAAGCGCCGGCUAACUACGUGCCAGCAGCCGCGGUAAUAC